CGGGUUGUGGCGCAGUUGGUAGCGCGCGUCGUUCGGGACGACGAGGUCGGCGGUUCAAGUCCGCCCAACCCGAC
rnacentral:tRNA from 15 species